ACUGGCACUUUUUCUCAGUCAUCUUCUUUGAAUUCACAUUUCCUUUGUAUAACUUUAAAUGGUGGAUGUUCCCAGGGUGUAGUUCUCAGCCUUUCUCUCUGCCAAGCACUUCAGAAUCCAGUAUUUCCCAACUGAACCACCCAGGGGUAUAAUAUACAGUAUUGUGCCUGGAUCACAGAAGGAGACCAAAAAAUUUAUGUUGAAAUUAAUGAACUAAAUAAAGGAAAUCCAGGAGUGGUAAGUUUUGGGAGGAAGAAAGAAGAUGUCCAAAUCUUGAAGUGUUGCCUAGAGAAGGAAGACCCAUGUGGGAGGAUGAAAUAGGAGACUUGGCUUGUAGAUCAACAUGGGGACACUGGACCCCAUGAUAAAAAGAAUAAUGGAGAA